rnacentral:lncRNA from 1 species
CUUGCUGAUGCUUUCAUUUCCAGAACCUGGCCCUGCCUGUUUCGAAUCAAGUGCUGAUAGAGCUGUCUUAUGUGCACCAACAAGUUCCAUAAAAUCAGACCCUGAAUUCAGAAUAUCAUUAUAAUUUCCAGCCUGGGUAAUCCUUCCGUCCUUCAUGACCUAUCCAAAAGUUAUAAGGUGAACUCAAUGAAUCAACUAGUUGAGAUGACAAGUCCCAAAAGCAUUGAAGAAAGAGAUGUGAUUACUCACCAAUAUUAGAUCAGCCGGAGGUAAGAAUUCAACUUGAUGAGUAACAUAAAUAACAGUUUUCGAACUCAUUAGGCCAAGCAAAACUUCCUGUAUUGUAAUGAUAGAACAAAUAUAUUUUAUUAGAAGAACCAUUCUAUUUUAUGCACAUAAAGACAACAUUAAAGGAAAAAUAAAAUGGCAGACUAGCAGAAACCAACAAAUUUUUUUAUUUUAUUGGAAGUGCAUAACCGAACAACAAAAUAGCCUGCAAAUAUGUCCAAGGGAAUUAGGAAACAAAAAUUUCCUUACCUUAAAUAAAUGAGAUCCAGUAUGUGCAUCGACAGCACUAAAAGGAUCAUCAAAUAGAUAGAUAUCAGCAUCUUGGUAGAGAGCCCGUGCAAUCUGUAUUCUUUGUUUCUGGCCACCACUCAGAUUGAUACCCCUCUCACCUAUAACUGUUUGGUCACCAAAAGAGAGGAUUUCCAGGUCCUUCUUCAAGGAACAAGCCUCCAGUAUCCUUUCAUACCUUUCUCUGUCCAUCUUCUCACCAAAUAAUAUGUUCUCCUCAAUCUUGCCACUCUGUAUCCAAGGUGACUGCGCAACAUAAGCCUUUUUACCACACAACCUGACUGUCCCAGAGAUCUUGGGGACCUCUCCCAAAAUGCAAGAAAGUAAACUUGAUUUGCCCGAACCAACAGUACCACAUACAGCAACCCUCAUUCCAUGGAAUACUUUAAAAUUGAUAUCUUUUAAUGUUGGGUUAGGAGAAGACAAAUCCCAAGAGAAAUUCCCAUCAAUUAUCUCAAUUGCAGUGUCAGAACUGCCUCUUGGAAACUUCUCUACAAGAUCAGACUGUAAAUCAUCAAGACGGAGGAAAGAUGCAAUUCUAUCAAGGGAAACCUUGGUCUGAACUAUCAUUGAAAUUGUGUCAGGAAGAUUAUAGAUAGGCUCUUGAAGAAUCCUG